rnacentral:rRNA from 1 species
UACGUAGGGUGCGAGCGUUGUCCGGAUUUAUUGGGCGUAAAGGGCUCGUAGGCGGCGUGUCGCGUCGGGGAGUGAAAGCCCGCUGCUUAACGGCGGGUUGGCUUCCGGUACGGGCAUGCUGGAGUGUGGCAGGGGAGACUGGAAUUCCUGGUGUAGCGGUGGAAUGCGCAGAUAUCAGGAGGAACACCGGUGGCGAAGGCGGGUCUCUGGGCCAUUACUGACGCUGAGGAGCGAAAGCGUGGGGGAGCGAACAGG